UCUGACGGAGCAACGCCGCGUGAGUGAYGAAGGUUUUCGGAUCGUAAAACUCUGUUGUGAGGGAAGAAMACGUACCAAUUAACUACUGGYACCUUGACGGUACCUCACCAGAAAGCCACGGCUAACUACGUGCCAGCAGCCGCGGUAAUACGUAGGUGGCAAGCGUUGUCCGGAAUUAUUGGGCGUAAAGCGCGCGCAGGCGGUCCCUUAAGUCUGAUGUGAAAGCCCACGGCUCAACCGUGGAGGGUCAUUGGAAACUGGGGGACUUGAGUGCAGAAGAGGAAAGUGGAAUUCCAYGUGUAGCGGUGAAAUGCGUAGAGAUGUGGAGGAACACCAGUGGCGAAGGCGACUUUCUGGUCUGUAACUGACGCUGAGGCGCGAAAGCGUGGGGAGCAAACAGGAUUAGAUACCCUGGUAGUCCACGCCGUAAACGAUGAGUGCUAAGUGUUAGGGGGUUUCCGCCCCUUAGUGCUGCAGCUAACGCAUUAAGCACUCCGCCUGG
rnacentral:rRNA from 1 species